CCUACGGGCGGCAGCAGUGAGGAAUAUUGGUCAAUGGGCUUACGCCUGAACCAGCCAAGUCGCGUGAGGGAAGACUGCCCUAUGGGUUGUAAACCUCUUUUGUCAGGGAGCAACGCCGGCUACGUGUAGCCGGACUGAGAGUACCUGAAGAAAAAGCAUCGGCUAACUCCGUGCCAGCAGCCGCGGUAAUACGGAGGAUGCGAGCGUUAUCCGGAUUGAUUGGGUUUAAAGGGUGCGUAGGCGGAAUGCCAAGUCAGCGGUAAAAUCGCGGGGCUCAACCUCGCUCCGCCGUUGAAACUGGCGUUCUUGAGUGGGCGAGAAGUAUGCGGAAUGCGUGGUGUAGCGGUGAAAUGCAUAGAUAUCACGCAGAACUCCGAUUGCGAAGGCAGCAUACCGGCGCCCAACUGACGCUGAAGCACGAAAGCGUGGGUAUCGAACAGGAUUAGAUACCCUUGUAGU
rnacentral:rRNA from 1 species